UCAGUGCAUAUUAGAAAUCGAAACAACUCGGACGUUUCUUCUAAUUACUCUGCAUUUGGCAGAGUCCGCACAUUUUGGCGACCGUGACAGGACUCUGCAUUGGGCAAGUCCCACUAUAAAUUCUAUUCACACUUAGCAUCAUUCCCUCUGCAUUCGGCGGAGAAGUAUAUUCCCGCAACGCCAGAAUACUAGGUGUAUUUUCGGCACGCAGUGCAGCUCAUUGGACUACUGUCAGUGCGUUUGGCAUCAUCGUUGGCUCUCCGGAAGCAUCGUUGGAUCACCGGAAUCAUCGCCACUAGGGCGUCGUGGAUGCCUGUAUACAGCUUGGCAAGCGAAGGAACAGCGACACAAAGAAGACGAAAAACUGUAAGAUAGACUCGCAAAUGCAAUCGGGGUUUGUCAUUCCACUUUCAACCAAAAGGCAUUGCCUAUAUAUACACAUACUUGUGCAGCUGGUCUGCAAGUAGAUAAGACAAAAAUUGAGUUACUCUCCCGACCAUCGGAGUGUUUUGUUUUUCCCUCUGAGCAAAAGGGCAUUGCCAACAUAUUUGGAUAAGGUAUUGCUUCACUCAAUAAUUGCUCCACACUUAGUUUUCGCUAAAUAACUCUUCGCAAAAUUACUGAUACUCAACUCGUGUUUUCAAUUAUCAUCACUCGUUUUGGAGCGUCAAAGAUGCACCGGCCAGAAGAUGCAAGUUUCUUCAAUUCAUCAGCAAAUUGCGCAACUGGGCACCAUAAUCGUUUCCCUUCGUUAAGGCUGCCUUCGUUCGACAGGAAGUAUGGUGACUACAUGAAGUUUAUCACUGCCUUUACUAGCAUGGUACAUGAUGACGCUUCAAUAUAAACUGUUGACAAAUUUAACAACCUGCUUAACUGUUUGUCUGGUCCCGCGCUGAGUGUCGUGGCCCCCUUUCAAGUGUCCGAAAUCAAUUAUCCAAAGGUGUUAAGGCAGUUAAAGGAGCGCUACGAUAAAAAGAUUUAAGUUCCGCAUUGAUUGUCGCUUAGUGAAUUAAGGAGGACAUACUGCGAAUAAAACGGCUUUACAACGGCAGUCAGCCUGCGUUACCUUUCUACUUGCUGCUCGAGCAGAGGUACGCAGCUUGUUAAUACUAAAAUUGGUGAUAAACUGUUAG